AGCCGACAGUUCCGUGAUGUUACUUUGAAGAGAAGCUGCACGAGCCGUGGAACGAAAAAAAAAAGACGCGAAAAAAGUGUUGCUGCUUAACUACUGAAACUGUUCCGGGAGAAGGAAACUUGUAGCGGCAAUGCACCAACCGCCAUUAAACCUCAAAAAACGAGGGAACUUUAAAAAAAGAAGAGAAAGAAAAAAGUUAACUACCCCGGCAUGACGUCAGACGCCGAAAAGGUGGCCGCGUGCAUCAGCUCCUGUAUAAAAACGCAGCAAAGGCGCUCCAGGAUGGCGUGUUCGACCUGGUCCAGAUUAGUGGCCUGUCCAGAAUGGAACAACCUGCUUCCUGCUCACGGAGACCUGGUCUGACUCGCCAUAUACAAAAGCCUGAGGCUGUCAAAAAAAGAUUGAUCUUCAUGAAGACUGUCAAAUAGUAAGGUGUCAUAAUUUAAUUCUGGGUGGCCGCCGUGUCCCCACUCUUUCUUGGCCGCUAUGCCUCCACUCUUUCUUGGCCGCUGUGCCUACAUCUCUCUGCAUUGUCCAACAUGGCCACGUUCUUUCUUUUCUCCUGCUUUCCAUCUGUCAAAUAGCUGAGUGUUGUACAUGGAGCAUUUGCCACAGGUUGGUUUUGUAUGUUCCUGUCCACCUUAUUGGGUGGUCCUAAAUCUGGUCCUUGUUGGUUAUAUUUUUGUGGAACUGCUGAGCGAGUGAUUUGAAAGAAUGAGGUGACUGAUGGAGUGUUUGAAAUUCUCUCUCUAAAUGAAUGGGUUGUGUGUGUGACUGAGAUGCCUGUAUUGAAUAGUUAAGAUGGUCUGAGAAUAUGAUGAUGUUCAGCAGUUCAUGUUAAAGUAGAUAUGGUGUCUUGAAGGGCCUAGAUGCUUGAUACGUCAUAAUGCACUAACAUUUCCUUUUUAGGUCUGUCUACAAAGGGUGAGUCCAUAUUUUUUUAUUUCUUCUCUGGGGGCUACUGUCUUGGCCUCCAUUUACAUGCAAAGGUAAGAACACGCCUCUCUGUGGAGGCGUUUUCUUGCCUUACCACUCUACCUUUUAAAUACUUUUUCUUUCAAACUGUUUCUUAGGACGGUAAGUGACACGCAGGCCGCGGGCCAUCGCUCUUCCGACCGCCGUGUCGAUCUGUCCUGGCCCUCCUCGAGCCAUUCCUCACUUCUAAAAGGAAAAUAUCAACUUGAACUGUUUUCUUUAGCAUUUAAAUAUAGUGAUGUUGGAGGACCAGAUCUUAAAUGAGGUUUAAAUGGAUGGUGGUGUACAGUUAAAGCUAGAUGGUAGGAAUAAAAUUAAUCUUGUGCCUACACUCUGUCACAAGGAUUAGACUUCUUGGCCGCUGUGCCUUUUUUUUCUUCUCUUUUCCAUCGUGGCCAUUAAUCUACCGUUAGCCUUAGCACGUUAAAAUAGAUCCUGGUGAUCUACAAACACAGCACCUGGCUUUGGAUGGCAGCUUUGCCUUUGGUUUUGCCAUACGUCCUUUAAUGCAAGUAGUCCACGAUGGCCACUGUGCCCGUGCCUUCAUGGCCUAUUUGUAUUAUUGUACGUCUGGCUUGCGCGUAUAGUCAUUUUACAUAGACAAACAUGGGUGCCUUCCGCGUCCAUGCACAGUAAGUGAACUAACCUGUACUUUCCUUCUAGCAUCAGUCAAGAGGAGCACCGACAUCACUGCAUGUCCAUCUUAAUUAGAUCGCGUUUUAGUUAAUGUAAAAUUUCAUGUUAAGUGCAGUUUUUCUUUCUUGCUUGGCCGCUGUGCCAUUACUAUACCUGCUCUGACCUGAAUCUUGAUUCUUCAUGGCCACUGUGUCAUGACUGUACUUGGUCUUUAUGCCAGUCUAUAAUUUCUGAUCUGUUUUUCCUACUAAGUUUUCGUGUGUGUGUGUGUGUGAG